rnacentral:rRNA from 1 species
AUUGAACGCUGGCGGCAGGCCUAAAACAUGCAAGUCGAACGCCCUAGCAAUAGGGAGUGGCGCACGGGUGAGUAACACGUGGGAAUAUGCCUUUUGGUACGGAACAACGUCUGGAAACGGACGCUAAUGCCGUAUGGUCCCUUCGGGGUAAAGAUUUAUCGCCAAAAGAUUAGCCCGCGUCUGAUUAGCUAGUUGGUGAGGUAAUGGCUCACCAAGGCGACGAUCAGUAGCUGGUCUGAGAGGACGAUCAGCCACACAGGGACUGAGACACGGCCCAGACUCCUACGGAAGGCAGCAGUUAGGAAUAUUGGACAAUGGACGCAAGUCUGAUCCAGCCAUGCCGCGUGAGUGAUGAAGGCCUUCGGGUUGUAAAGCUCUUUAGUCCACGAUUAUAAUGACUGUAGUGGAAGAAUAAGCCCCGGCUAACUUCGUGCCAGCAGCCGCCGUAAUAC